rnacentral:lncRNA from 1 species
CUCAUUAGUAAUUUCCUGCACGGUGGACGCAGCACUCGGAUGAAACUGAGGCACACACAUCUGACCAGCUUUAUUAGGAUAGGAAAAAUCCCGAGUAUGCUGCAGCAGAAAUUAAGUCUAAUGCAAGUAACAGCUGAAAGUGUUCUUUAAAUUCCACGGAGAUUUGACUUUUAGAACAAUUUUGGGGGUUCAGAGCACUAUGCAGUCUGAAAGCAAAGGCAAACUAUAUGAGUGCCUUCAUUGUUGGCCCAGAUGGCAUGACUUAAUUAAAUAAAAUAUCUGUACUGCCUAUGUGUUGAUGUCUGGCACUAGCCCUGGGCCAAAGCUUGCAAAUAACUGUGGUUUGCCAACGUGUGGCUUUUCAAACAAAAUCUGUAUUAGCGCUCAUGAGCCAUGAGUAGCGAUGCGGCCUGGGCUGAGGCACAGGCUGGGUACUGAGAGAUGAACAGAGCAAGGCUUGAAGGGGGAAUUCAGCAGCCUCUCGGAGACGCUACAUUUGGGAUGGAAUGUACUCACCCUGACAUCCUAGAAACCAGCCAGAGGAAAAAUAAUUGAGCACCAUUAGUAACAGCUUUAGACUUCUCUCUCAGGUACAGCGAGAGCUUGGCUGGCAGCUGCUGUGUCUCAGUGGGGAGCCAGCUCACCGAGGAGAAGGGCAGCAAUGUGGUGACCUUGUCUCCAGCAGCCUCAGAAGCAAGGCAGGUUCUUUCCUGCUGGGGAGGAGACAUCCAGUUUAACCCUGAGCAGCUGCCAGCAAACUUCACCAGACCUUCGGGAAGAGCUCCUUGGGACCAGCAGCAGGACAGGAGUACCGCCAGCAGGGAAGGACAAGGUGAUGAUGCAGGGUAGGUGAUCAUGUGCAGGGCAUUAUUACUUGAACUAAGCACCCUCUAUAAAAAGGAUCAGUGAUGGAACAACACUGUCUUCUGGUGCUUCACGGUGAAAAUGUGAAAACUCCCCGUUCCUGACCGUGUCCUAAUGAUGCCGAACGCUUCUGCUUGGAAUUAGGCAAAUCUGUU